UGUUUAAUGCAGGUCCAGCAAACCACCAUUCAUUUCUGGUCGCAUCUGUGAUGUGCUCACUUGUUCAAUGUACCAGUGAAUGUGAUGUACGAGGCACAAUAUUGUCUGAUUACAGGCAGAAACUCGAGAAAGUUUGAUGUAAAAGGCAGUGAUCACGAUAGCCAACACCACAGUUUGAAAAUCCUACGUAUGUUGCUCAUUCUCAUCUGUACCUGACACGUGAUACCAACGACGUAACAUUAAAUUCUGUGCAGCAUGUUUCAGUCGCUCAGGAUCAUCGGCAGGCUCUCGUGGAUAUUCAUAAGCAGUUACAUGUGACUUGACAUUGUCCAGAAUUAUGUAUUACAAAAAUUAAAAUUAAGUUAAUUAUUAGAAAUUAAAAAAUGCAAUUUGUUGUCUUGCAGUAAUGCAAGUACCUAUGAAACCAGUAACUAAUAAUCAUACAGUUAAACUCAUCAGUCUGUAAUCACAACUUCUGAUUUAUUCAAAAUGGUUAUCUAUACACCGUAUUAAAUUAAUUUUGUUGGUAUUAUAAUUUUGCAGCACAAUAUGUUUUCAUCCAUCUUGUAUGUCUUAUUAGAAGUUAACCUGUGAAGAAUGGCAGGUGUAGGCUGUUGUUGGAUGUAUUCCUUUCAUACAUCAACUCCAAGAAGACUCGCACCACAAAACAGGCACACACAUAUUGUCUCCCAGAGUACCAAGAAACAUGCAUACUUAACGAGAAGCAUCUUAAUAUGUUACACUUACUGCCUGCAAGAUGUGGAAGGAUACAAAAAAACAUAUAAUAUAUACUCCAAUAAUAGAAUCACAGAAUACAAUAAAAGCAUAUAUUCAUUGCAUCCAUUCUAAUAGUGUUGGCACAAAAUUAAGUAAUAAAUAAAACAUAUUUAUAGCAUUUAAAAUAUGUUUGUUUUAUAUUGUCUGUAAUUUCAUGUUCUUGUCGUAACUACUUAGCCAAGGUAUGUAUCUAAUAAUUAUUAAAACCUACUUAAUUAAACAAAUAAUUAUAAAAUAUCAGAUUAAUUGCAAGACCACAACUUGCAAAUUUGAUUUUUAAUUUUUGUAAUACAAAAUUCUAGACAAUGACAAGUCACAUAAAAAACUGAUUCAGAAUAAGAAAUGUUUCCACAAGGGUCUAAAGAUGAUCCUGAAUAAUUGAAACAUGUCUAGAAUUAAUUCUGCAUUGUUAAUAACAAAAAUAUAUUGUGCGCUACAGAAUCUUUGUUCUUUUAUAUACCAAGAAAACUCGAUUAGAAUCACAGAACCAGCAGGUAUUAGAAAUGGAUUGCUACAAACAUCUAGCUAAUAGUAUAUGUGGCAGUGUAAACUCUGCAAUGACUUCAAAACUCAAUAGACAUGGGUAUUAUGAAGUCAAUAUUAGAUUAGUGUAUGGUCUAAGGUGUACUGAAAAUGGCAAUAAAUCUGCAUAGACUUUAUGUGCAGUGAUGAACUUGCUCUCUGCACCUUUCAAGUUCAGUGAACAGAACAAACACAUUUUUGAAAGUGCUAGGAAUAUUGGGAUUUCUAUGCAGUUACAGAAGUUUCAUUGAAUGAUGGGACUUGGCAUGUUUGGUGGCUUAUGACAAAAUUACAGAUGUUGCAGUGUUAUAAAAACAUUGUCAGUUGUACUUCAGUACAUCAUAGGAAAAGAAUACAAAUGCACAAGAAACUAUGAUAGCUUAGUGCUGGGAUGGAAGUAGACAGAAUACCGCUUGUUACAGAAAUACAGAAUUUUUACUUUCUCCAAUACCAAAGGGCUGGAGAUAAAAAAGAUUUUCAAAAUGAAGAGGCCAGACCACACAUGAUGAUGUAUACAAAGGGGAAACUGGAGGAUAUGUUAAGAAUGUAUCCAUUUACCCACAAGAAGUUUUUGAAUAAACUGUCUUAAAGAAUACUUAUUAUGCAAUA